rnacentral:tRNA from 1 species
GGGCCUAUAGCUCAGGCUGGUUAGAGCGCAUCCCUGAUAAGGAUGAGGUCCCUGGUUCAAAUCCAGGUAGGCCCA